AGACAUGAGGACAUUUUUGUGUACCUCUGUGUGCAAAUUUAUCAAGAUACAACGCGGAGAUUGCUUUAUUCUUCUGUUAAUUAUGCCGGUUCAGCGUCAGCGGGUAAUCAGUUCACACACUCUUAGAAAUGAAGCAUGGGUGUAGUUUAAUUUAAAUACUAGUUUUAUGGUAAAAUUACUAAAAGUAUUAUGUUUAUAUAGCAAAAAUAAGCAAGUUUCAUUGCAUUAAAUUAAUAGUAUAAUAUUUCAAGUCUACAAAAUGUCACAGAUUCAAACCAACUUAACCAGAUCAUUUUAAACCUACUAGCGGUUGAAGAUUGUCCCAAAGCGCUUUCCGUACUUGCAAUUUCGCACAUGCACGGGACGACGCGUCCAUUUUCCAUCUGUCCUUGGCCAACUUUUGUAAAUCCGUUAUCAUCCAUAAAUUAUUUGGCUCUGAAUGUGGAGGUGCAAACAGUGUCCUGAAAGUGAAUCUACAAGAGAGCACUAUCGAGCUUAUUAGUUACAUCCAACAAGAGAGCUUGCAGCUGUUGGUUUGAAGGAGCUUGCUGACCAGUGUCCUUUGGCUGACUACAAAGUUGGAUCCCUACGAAUGGUGACUUUAAAAAGAUUUGUACAUGUGACAGAAUCCCAGUGUUGAAGUACGACGGACAUGCAUCCUAAUGCCGUUGUGCGUCUACUUAAAUGAAAAGCCUGACAGCCUUAUUAAGGAGUACUGGGCUACUGAGGAUAUUGGUAUUGAUGCAAUGACGGAAAUGGAGAGACUGGUUUUGGGUGUCUACAUUGUUCGACAUGAUGGAGCAGAUGCUUCAGAUCCACCUGAGGA